UAACCAUGUAAAAAGGAAACGUUUGGACUGAAAUGAUGGAAUGCCAGUAAUAAUAAAAAACUCGUAGCCGAGUCGUCAGGUGGAUCGCGCGCUAAUGAGUAGGCUACUGUCUAUCCUUGCUUCACCCAUCCAUAUCGGACUACAAUAAACAUCUCUUUAGCAACUUAAAAACAAAUAAAACAACAGAUUACUCAUGUUAACCAACCACAGACUGAAUGAAAAUGGAAAAUAAGGAGCUGAAGAAGGUCUCUCUGUCCUCCGAUGCACCUCUGGGACGGUGAAGGUUGACUGUCUGGCGUAGGGACGGGGCUUGUCCGGAACGUUCUGAGACGAUGGCAGAACCUCCGUGUCUGCUGAUGGGCUGCACUGCAGCUGCCACUGCGCCGCUCUCUCUCUCACAUACACAGAAACACAACCUGGAUCUGUCUCUGUAGCCGCUCUCUCUCUCACACACACACAAACACUACCUGGAUCUCUCUGUAGCCGCUCUCUCUCUCACAGACACAUAAACACUACCUGGAUCUCUCUCUGUAGCCGCUCUCUCUCUCACAGACACACAAACACAACCUGGAUCUCUCUCUGUAGCCGCUCUCUAUCUCUCACAGACACAAACACUACCUGGAUCUCUCUCUGUAGCACACAGACAUGUAUCUCUAGCUCUGUUUUUCCACCACACCCACUUUUUUAUCACUUUCUUUCUUUCCUUCUCACUGUCUCACAAACACACACUCAUCUCUCUAUCUCAUACACAGGCACACACAGCACAGAUACCUGUCCUCAGGACUGGGCUAAAGGUUGGAGCUGUCAGUCGGUAUUGCGCCACAAGUGGUCAUUUCUUAUGAAUGGGUUAUCCGCAGGAGACCAUUAGACUGCCACUGUUAGUGGCUGUACACACAACAUAUAGCCUGAUGAUUAGUUACACUUUGUGGAGGCCCAUGCUAAGUUACUUGCUAUCUGUUCUUAUGUAGCUCUUAGAAAUAUAGUCUGGCAUAGACAUAUUCUUCAUGUAGACCAAAUACUUGACAGCUCUUUUGAAGCUUGUUCAAGUUUCAUUUGUGUACAGUGAGUGUAAUUUUUGACUGAUCAAUAAUCUUAGGUGAUAUCUUUGUGAAUAACCAAACUGUGUUUCUAUGUUCAAGUUAAUGUCGGUCAGGGUUAGAUCUGUGCCCCUGUCCCUUUAAAUCUUUAAUAAACAUUGCACAACAGGUCCAUGGCAAGCAGGUAACACACAACCAUAGAGAUAAGCUGCUAGGGAGCUAAGGAAGGAACCAGACACAUCACCAGAACGUGAACCCCUCCCCACACACAAACACUCCCUCCAUGCCCUUCCUGAGAACAUGACUGAGUCUGUCCUGUCUGGAACUCUGAUAAGACUUCUAAGGGCUUCUUUGUACUUUCAUUUUCCUAAUUAAUGUAAACAUGCAUUUGAAAAAGGUAGGAGCAGGAUGAGGAUAUGCUGGCCAGAGUUUUUGACACACAGGAGUGUUUGUUGCUGUAGUCAAAGAGAGAUGAUUAGAUUAAAAUAGGGGGUUUAGGGAAAAAUACCAUUGACAAUAAUGCACUUGACCCAAGCAUUUGGCAUGAGUUCACAGACAGUGAGUUGGCUAUUAUCUGUCCGUGCCACACCCUCACAGAGUUACUGUGCCAUCGCGCUCCUUGCCGGAUUGAAAGUGCCAUUUCUUUGGUUUUCAGAGCAGUGGAUAGCCACACUACUGGACCAACAUCAGGGAAGACAAGUAGUCAGACAGGUUCUCUUCAUUUGAGCCAUUUAGAAAUGAACAGAGUGGGCAUGUGGUAGAAGGAUCGUCUCAACAGAUAUGCUUAUUUAUAUCAGGUAUCAAGGAAAAGAACCGGUCAUGUAAAGGAGACUGGUUUCAACUGAAAUAGCAAGUCCUGGACUAUCCCCAAGUUAGUUAUCCCAUUGCCACUGACAAUCCCGUGUGCUGUCUUGUGUAAUCAGAGCUGAGGUAGGAACGUUGAGGUCUUAUGGUGAGCUAUUCCACCAGGAAGUGAAUCAUUACCAGUGGGUGUUAGAAUUUGGAACUUGACAUUAUGAUGCAUUUUUUCCACUGUUGUAAACAUGUCGCAUGCUAUGAAUCACAGAGCUUUCUGUGGACAGAAGUCUGACUGUUCCAGGGACAACUCUGUCUUAUACAUGAAUUGAUUGUUAAGAUAUUUUCUUUCAGACAUACGGCAGGCCCAGGGGACUACUGUUCCAUACACACCCAGGGUACAAAGUUACAGCGGGUUGUAGGGCAGGUUGGGUUGUAGUAGGUUGUGAUGACAACACCACAAAGGAAUGGUCUUAUCACAUUUAAAUGGCAUGGGAUGAACUCUGUCAUUGGAUGGUUGAGAAAUGACUAUGGUUGUAUUUCUUAAUCGAGGCAUGAUACUUGGUGUACAUAACAUGAGAGAUUACAGACACAUACCAAUGUUUGUUUUGUCAAUAUGAAAACUAACCCUGCUGUCUCAUUUGAACCCCCCCUCCCUCCAUAUCCAAAGUCUG